GACGAACGCUGGCGGCGUGCUUAACACAUGCAAGUCGAGCGGUAAGGCCCUUUCGGGGGUACACGAGCGGCGAACGGGUGAGUAACACGUGGGUGACCUGCCCUCAGCUCUGGGAUAAGCCUGGGAAACCGGGUCUAAUACCGGAUAUGACUCCAUGACGCAUGUUGUGGGGUGGAAAGCCUUGUGCGGCUGAGGAUGGGCCCGNGGCCUAUCAGCUUGUUGGUGGGGUGAUGGCCUACCAAGGCGACGACGGGUAGCCGGCCUGAGAGGGCGACCGGCCACACUGGGACUGAGACACGGCCCAGACUCCUACGGGAGGCAGCAGUGGGGAAUCUUGCGCAAUGGGCGAAAGCCUGACGCAGCGACGCCGCGUGAGGGAUGACGGCCUGG
rnacentral:rRNA from 1 species